GUUAUAAGGAGUAGCAGUAGAAUUGAAUUCCCGUAUUGAUCAGAAUCGAGACUCGAUUCUUGAUUGAAGUGUAGUGAGUGUAGUGUUUCCUGGGACUUCGCUGUCAGCAUUUAUGGAAUGACGGAAAGGUCUUAGAGCACAGUCUUGUCCUUUGUGGACAGGGCUGCUAAGGGAUCUCCUGGAAGUCAUUCCCAACUUUAGCCAUCGAUGGACCAGGAGCGUAAAAGCAAAAUGUAAAGGUCAAAGUGAGUCGUUUCGAUUUAUCAGCUGGCACUGAUGAUAAUCGUGAUGAAUUCCGUGGGAAACGCAAAAGUUUGUGAAGUAACUUAUGUCGAUAGAAUUUUGGAGGGUUAGUUUGCGACGUGGGUCAUUAUUUUCGGGGUGAUUCCUGGGGAAAUUUUUUCUAAAUUCCUUCAAGUACAAAUUUUCUUCAUUCACGACACUAGGUAUCUUCUCAUCUUUUCGAUAUACUUCUGAUAGUCCUUCAGUAGCGGUCCAAUUAUUUAAAUCGAAGUACAAUAUUUUGUGGAGUAACUUUAUGUCGAUAGAAUUCUGGAGGAUUUGUUUGCGAAGUGGGUCAUUAUUUUCGGGAAAAUUCCUGGGGAAAUUCCUUCGAAAUGACCAUGUCAUCUUUGAAGAAUUUUCUUGUAGUGCUUUCCUCAGAAUGAAUGAACCUUCAAGAACACAUUUUCUAUAUUCACGACACUAAGUAUCUUCUCAUCUUAUCGAUAUACUUCUGAUAGUCCUUUAGUAGCGGUAUAAUUAUUUCAAUGGAAAUGCAAUAUUUUGUGGAACAACUUUAUGUCGAUAGAAUUCUGGAGGGUUUGAUUGCGAAGUGGGUCAUUAUUUUUGGGAUGAUUCCUAGGAAAAUUCCUACGAAAUGAUCAACUCAUCUUCGAGGAAUUUUCUCUUGAUGCUCUCCUUAGAAUCAAUGACUCUUCAAGAUCAGAUUCAACAAAUUUGCGACUAAAGUUUUUUCUCAUCUUAUUGAUUCAUUUCUUAGCGUAAUUCCGUUUCGACUAAAUUAUUAUUUCGUCGCGAUAUAAGUGUUGAGUGUACAAAAAAGGUAAAGAAAGUAGGUACAAGACAAGAUAAUAAGUAUAUUCGAUAAUGUCAUAUAUUUUAUAUCAUUCGAAAUUGAAUUUUGAUAUACGUUACUGACAAAAUGGGUAGUAUUGAAGAUUCAAUACGUAAAUAUUUAACGCAGUAACGUAUUAUCUGAAGAACAGAAGAUAAUCAUUUAUUUUUCAGUAGAAAGUUAAUGGAUCAGAUAGUUUGUCUCGAAAGAUUUUGUCCUCAGAACUGAAUAUAUAAUUAGAUACUGCACCUGUCACUCCUGUCAGCACCUACAACAGCAUGACAGAAGUUGGUGGCAAAAGUCUAAACAACAUAAGUUAUAAGUAGCAGC